rnacentral:lncRNA from 1 species
GUUUACAUCAAGGAGCUCUCUGUACUUUUCUCUCCGUUCAUCUUUCCUUUGAUCCUGACUAGUCUCCCAGUCCCUGCCGCUGAAUAACAUCCCCACAGCAUGAUGCUGCCACCACCAUGCUUCACCAUAGGGAUGGUGCCAGGUUUCCUCCAGACUUGACGCUUGACAUUCAGGCCAAAGAGUUCAAUCUUGGUUUCAUCUCACCAGAGAAUCUUGUUUCUCAGUCAAUCAGGGGUCUUUUCACAGUCCCCAAAUGCAGAACAAAUUCAAGAAAACGUACAGUAUUAUAUAGAGCCAUUAUUACAUGGAACUUCCUCCCAUCUCAUAUUGCUCAAAUAAACAGCAAACCUGGUUUCAAAAAACAGAUAAAGCAACACCUCACGGCACAACACCUCUCCCCUAUUGGACCCACAGCACAACGCCUCUCCCCUAUUGGACCCACAGCACAACGCCUCUCCCCUAUUGGACCCACAGCACAACGCCUCUCCCCUAUUGGACCCACAGCACAACGCCUCUCCCCUAUUGGACCCACAGCACAACGCCUCUCCCCUAUUGGACCCACAGCACAACGCCUCUCCCCUAUUGGACCCACAGCACAACGCCUCUCCCCUAUUGGACCCACAGCACAACGCCUCUCCCCUAUUGGACCCACAGCACAACGCCUCUCCCCUAUUGGACCCACAGCACAACGCCUCUCCCCUAUUGGACCCACAGCACAACGCCUCUCCCCUAUUGGACCCACAGCACAACGCCUCUCCCCUAUUGGACCCACAGCACAACGCCUCUCCCCUAUUGGACCCACAGCACAACGCCUCUCCCCUAUUGGUCCCACAGCACAACGCCUCUCCCCUAUUGGACCCACAGCACAACGCCUCUCCCCUAUUGGACCCACGGCACAACGCCUCUCCCCUAUUGGACCCACGGCACAACGCCUCUCCCCUAUUGGACCCACGGCACAACGCCUCUCCCCUAUUGGACCCACGGCACAACGCCUCUCCCCUAUUGGACCCACGGCACAACGCCUCUCCCCUAUUGGACCCACAGCACAACGCCUCUCCCCUAUUGGACCCACAGCACAACGCCUCUCCCCUAUUGGACCCACAGCACAACGCCUCUCCCCUAUUGGACCCACAGCACAACGCCUCUCCCCUAUUGGACCCACAGCACAACGCCUCUCCCCUAUUGGACCCACAGCACAACGCCUCUCCCCUAUUGGACCCACAGCACAACGCCUCUCCCCUAUUGGACCCACAGCACAACGCCUCUCCCCUAUUGGACCCACAGCACAACGCCUCUCCCCUAUUGGACCCACAGCACAACGCCUCUCCCCUAUUGGUCCCACAGCACAACGCCUCUCCCCUAUUGGACCCACAGCACAACGCCUCUCCCCUAUUGGACCCACGGCACAACGCCUCUCCCCUAUUGGACCCACGGCACAACGCCUCUCCCCUAUUGGACCCACGGCACAACGCCUCUCCCCUAUUGGACCCACGGCACAACGCCUCUCCCCUAUUGGACCCACAGCACAACGCCUCUCCCCUAUUGGACCCACAGCACAACGCCUCUCCCCUAUUGGACCCACAGCACAACGCCUCUCCCCUAUUGGACCCACAGCACAACGCCUCUCCCCUAUUGGACCCACAGCACAACGCCUCUCCCCUAUUGGACCCACAGCACAACGCCUCUCCCCUAUUGGACCCAGAUAGUUUGUGUGUAUGCAUUGAUAUGUAGGCUACGUGUGCCUUUUUAAAUAUGUGUGUAGUUCUGUCCUUGACCUGUUCUUGUCGAAUAAUGUUCUGUAUUAUGUCGUUCUGUAUUAUGUUUCAUGUUCUGUGUGGAUCCCAGGAAGAGUAGCUGCUGCUUUUGCAACAGGAUCCUACUAAAAUACCAAACUAAAUGGAAACACCCUGAGCUCAAUUUCAAGUCUCAUAGCAAAGGGUCUCUGAAUACUGAUGUAAAUAAGGUAUAUCUGUUUUUUUUAAUUUUUACUACAUUUUCAAAAAUGUCUAAAAACCUGUUUUCGCUUUGUCAUUAUGGGGUAAUGUGAUGUCAUUAUGGGGUAAUGUGAUGUCAUUAUGGGGUAUUGUGAUGUCAUUAUGGGGUAAUGUGCAUAGAUUACUGAGGACAUGUUUUUUUAUAAUCCAUUUUAGAAUAAGGCUGUAACGUAAGAAAAUGUGGAAAGGGUGAAGGGGUCUGAAUACUUUCCAAAGCCACUGUAGUUUUUCUGAUGUAGCUACUGUACUACAGUACCAGUCGAAAGUUUGGACAGCUACUUAUUUUCUACAUUGUAGAAUAUUAGUGAAGACAUCAAAACUAUGAAAUAACACAUAUGAAAUCACGUCUUCAAAAAAGUGUUAAACAAAUCAAAAUAUAUUUGAGAUCCUUCAAAUUAGCCAC